rnacentral:rRNA from 1 species
UACGUAGGGAGCAAGCGUUGUCCGGAUUCACUGGGUGUAAAGGGUGCGCAGGCGGGAGAGUAAGUCAGAGGUGAAAUCUCACAGCUUAACUGUGAAACUGCCUUUGAUACUGCUUUUCUUGAGUUCGGGAGAGGUUGAUGGAAUUCCAGGUGUAGCGGUGAAAUGCGUAGAUAUCUGGAAGAACACCAGUGGCGAAGGCGGUCAACUGGCCCGUAACUGACGCUCAGGCACGAAAGCGUGGGUAGCGAACAGGAUUAGAUACCCCUGUAGUCC